rnacentral:rRNA from 1 species
CGAGCGAGCGGAACUAACAGAUUUACUUCGGUAAUGACGUUAGGAAAGCGAGCGGCGGAUGGGUGAGUAACACGUGGGGAACCUGCCCCAUAGUCUGGGAUACCACUUGGAAACAGGUGCUAAUACCGGAUAAGAAAGCAGAUCGCAUGAUCAGCUUUUAAAAGGCGGCGUAAGCUGUCGCUAUGGGAUGGCCCCGCGGUGCAUUAGCUAGUUGGUAAGGUAAAGGCUUACCAAGGCGAUGAUGCAUAGCCGAGUUGAGAGACUGAUCGGCCACAUUGGGACUGAGACACGGCCCAAACUCCUACGGGAGGCAGCAGUAGGGAAUCUUCCACAAUGGACGCAAGUCUGAUGGAGCAACGCCGCGUGAGUGAAGAAGGUUUUCGGAUCGUAAAGCUCUGUUGUUGGUGAAGAAGGAUAGAGGUAGUAACUGGCCUUUAUUUGACGGUAAUCAACCAGAAAGUCACGGCUAACUACGUGCCAGCAGCCGCGGUAAUACGUAGGUGGCAAGCGUUGUCCGGAUUUAUUGGGCGUAAAGCGAGCGCAGGCGGAAGAAUAAGUCUGAUGUGAAAGCCCUCGGCUUAACCGAGGAACUGCAUCGGAAACUGUUUUUCUUGAGUGCAGAAGAGGAGAGUGGAACUCCAUGUGUAGCGGUGGAAUGCGUAGAUAUAUGGAAGAACACCAGUGGCGAAGGCGGCUCUCUGGUCUGCAACUGACGCUGAGGCUCGAAAGCAUGGGUAGCGAACAGGAUUAGAUACCCUGGUAGUCCAUGCCGUAAACGAUGAGUGCUAAGUGUUGGGAGGUUUCCGCCU